GUCUGGGAAACUGCCUGAUGGAGGGGGAUAACUACUGGAAACGGUAGCUAAUACCGCAUAACGUCGCAAGACCAAAGAGGGGGACCUUUCGGGCCUCUUGCCAUCGGAUGUGCCCAGAUGGGAUUAGCUAGUAGGUGGGGUAACGGCUCACCUAGGCGACGAUCCCUAGCUGGUCUGAGAGGAUGACCAGCCACACUGGAACUGAGACACGGUCCAGACUCCUACGGGAGGCAGCAGUGGGGAAUAUUGCACAAUGGGCGCAAGCCUGAUGCAGCCAUGCCGCGUGUAUGAAGAAGGCCUUCGGGUUGUAAAGUACUUUCAGCGGGGAGGAAGGGAGUAAAGUUAAUACCUUUGCUCAUUGACGUUACCCGCAGAAGAAGCACCGGCUAACUCCGUGCCAGCAGCCGCGGUAAUACGGAGGGUGCAAGCGUUAAUCGGAAUUACUGGGCGUAAAGCGCACGCAGGCGGUUUGUUAAGUCAGAUGUGAAAUCCCCGGGCUCAACCUGGGAACUGCAUCUGAUACUGGCAAGCUUGAGUCUCGUAGAGGGGGGUAGAAUUCCAGGUGUAGCGGUGAAAUGCGUAGAGAUCUGGAGNGAANUACCGGUGGCGAAGGCGGCCCCCUGGACGAAGACUGACGCUCAGGUGCGAAAGCGUGGGGAGCAAACANGGAUUAGAUACCCUGGUAGUCCACGCCGUAAACGAUGUCGACUUGGAGGUUGUGCCCUUGAGGCGUGGCUACCGGAGCUAACGCGUUAAGUCGACCGCCUGGGGAGUACGGCCGCAAGGUUAAAACUCAAAUGAAUUGACGGGGGCCCGCACAAGCGGUGGAGCAUGUGGUUUAAUUCGAUGCAACGCGAAGAACCUUACCUGGUCUUGACAUCCACAGAACUUUCCAGAGACGGAUUGGUGCCUUCGGGAACUGUGAGACAGGUGCUGCAUGGCUGUCGUCAGCUCGUGUUGUGAAAUGUUGGGUUAAGUCCCGCAACGAGCGCAACCCUUAUCUUUUGUUGCCAGCGGUCCGGGCGGGAACUCAAAGGAGACUGCCAGUGAUAAACU
rnacentral:rRNA from 1 species